rnacentral:rRNA from 1 species
UACAGAGGUCUCAAGCGUUGUUCGGAUUCAUUGGGCGUAAAGGGUGCGUAGGUGGCGCUGUAAGUCAGGUGUGAAAUUUCGGAGCUCAACUCCGAAACUGCAUUUGAUACUGCGGUGCUUGAGGACUGGAGAGGAGAUUGGAAUUCACGGUGUAGCAGUGAAAUGCGUAGAUAUCGUGAGGAAGACCAGUGGCGAAGGCGGAUCUCUGGACAGUUCCUGACACUGAGGCAGCGAAGGCCAGGGAGACAAACGGGG